ACGAACGUUAGCGGCGCGCCUAACACAUGCAAGUCGUGCGAGAAAGGGCUUCGGUUUUGGUAAAGCGGCGCACGGGUGAGUAACACGUAGAUAAUCUUUUUUCGGGUGGUGGAUAAUUUUCCGAAAGGAGAGCUAAUACAGCAUAAGACCACGGUUUUUUCGGGAGCUGUGGCCAAAGUGGGCUAUUUCAUGAAAGCUCACGUUUGGGGAUGAGUCUGCGGUUUAUCAGCUUGUUGGUAGGGUAACGGUCUAUCAAGGCUAAGACGGGUAGUUGGUCUGAGAGGAUGGUCAGCCAUACUGGAACUGAGACAUGGUCCAGACUUCUACGGGAGGUAGCAGUGGGGAAUCUUGCGCAAUGGGCGAAAGCCUGACGCAGCGACGUCGCGUGAGCGAUGAAGGCCUUCGGGUUGUAAAGUUCUGUGGGGAGGGACGAAUAAGUGUUGGCUAACAUCUAGCAUGAUGACGGUAUUUUUUUAGCAAGCAUCGGCUAAUUCUGUGUUAGCAGCCGCGGUAAGACAGAGGGUGCAAACGUUGUUCGGAAUCACUGGGCGUAAAGCGCGUGUAGGUGGUCUGGCAAGUCGGGCGUGAAAUCCCACGGCUCAACCAUGGAAGUGCAUUCGAAACUGCUUGACUAGAGUUUUGGAGAGGAAGGCGGAAUACUCGGUGUAGAGGUGAAAUUCGUAGAUAUCGAGUGGAACACCGGUGGCGAAGGUGGUUUUCUGGACAGUGACUGACGCUGAAACGCGAAAGCGUGGGGAGCAAACAGGAUUAGAUAUUUUGGUAGCCCACGCCGUAAACGAUGGGUGCUAGGUGUCGUGGGUUUUGAUCUUCGUGGUGCCGUAGCUAACGCGUUAAGCAUUUUGCUUGGGGAGUACGGCCGUAAGGUUAAAACUCAAAGGAAUUGACGGGGGUUUGUACAAGCGGUGGAGCAUGUGGUUCAAUUCGACGCAACGCGUAGAACCUUAUCUGGGCUAGAAAACACAGGAAUCUGGAUGAAAAUUCGGGGUGUUUUUCGGGGAACCUGUGGUUAGGUGCUGCAUGGCUGUCGUCAGCUCGUGUCGUGAGAUGUUGGGUUAAGUUUUGCAACAAGCGCAAUCCCUGUUGUUAGUUGUCAGCCUUAAGUUGGGCAUUUUAACAAGACUGUUGACCUUCAAGUCGGAGGAAGGUGGGGACGACGUCAAGUCCUCAUGGCCUUUAUGUCCAGGGCUACACACGUGUUACAAUGAUCGGUACAAAGGGUCGCGAAUCCGUGAGGGGGAGCCAAUCCCAAAAAACCGGUCUCAGUACAGAUAAGAGUCUGUAACUCGACUCUUUGAAGUUGGAAUCGUUAGUAAUCGCUGAUCAGCACAGCAGCGGUGAAUACGUUCUUGGGCCUUGUACACAUCGUUCGUUAUACCAUGGGAGUCGUUUGCUCCAGAAGUGCCUGCGCUAACUUGCAAGGGAGGUAGGGUUUCAAGGAGUGAACGGUAACUGGGGUG
rnacentral:rRNA from 1 species